GCCUGGGCGGGGUUUCCCUCCCAGUUCAAGUGUGCGGCUCAGUAGAGGACAGAAGCAGGAGUGCGCGGAUAUCUUCGACUGCAAGGGAUUUUCGAGACUGCUCGACUUUUUUUUUUUUUUUCCUUUUCUCUCUUCUUAAAUUUUUGACGGCGUCCUGCUUUUUUUUAGGCCACGUUACUGGCUGAGGUAGUAGUUUGUGCUGUUGGUUGGGUUGAGACACUGCCCGCUAUGGAGAUGACUGCGCAAGCUACUGCCUUGCCAGUGCUGGUGCCUCCGCUUCGGCCGAAGGACGAACAGAAAGUCCCCGCAUCUCUUAACGCCGUCAGCGGGUCUCCCCAGAACUGUGUCGUGUUUCUCACUGUCACGUGUUUAUUGAUAAUAAAAAAAAGUACGAAAGAAAAACCCA